UACGGGGGGGGGCAAGCGUUGUUCGGAAUUACUGGGCGUAAAGGGCUCGUAGGCGGCCAACUAAGUCAGACGUGAAAUCCCUCGGACUUAACCGGGGAACUGCAGUCUGAUACUGGAUGGCUUGAGUUCGGGAGAGGAUGUGGGAAUUCCAGGUGUAGCGGUGAAAUGACGUAGAUAUUCGGAGGAACACCAGAAGCGAAGGCGGCCAACUGGACCCGAUACUGACGCUGAGGCGCGAAAGCGAUGGGGA
rnacentral:rRNA from 1 species